UACGGACAUAUUUUAUAUAUUUUUAUACAUGUUUUUAUAUGACACAUUUUUUCCCGGGUUUUUAGAAUCAAAAACCCUUUGAAAAAUACAACCAGUGACCCAGAUAGCAAGCAGAGGAAAGCGGGAUAGGCAGGGGGUUAAAUUUAAUACUGCUAGUAUUAAAUUUUUGUAGGUGAAUGAUUUUCGCUUCUGCCUUCUUUUUCUCGACCACAGAUCAGUCAGUCGAAAGCAAAAGUGGAAAAAAAGCGCUUGCAAAAGCAUUAUGCAUUAUACAGUCUUGACCUUCCCACGACAUAAUUUCUUCCUUAUACACUUCCCUCUCCACCCCCCCCCCCUACCCUUUCCUCCGGUACUACUGGCGAUGGGAUUUCGGGAUUGCGGUGUCCACGAAAGCCCACCUCGCGCAUACACGCGAAACGCUCUGUCUGUGUAAUGACAAAACGAACGAAAGGAUCCCUUCUUCUCGCUCAGUCCAAAUCAGAUCGGACGAUCGAGCGAGAAGGAGGGAUAUUCUUUCGUUCACCCCUAUCAUUGGACGGUACCACAAUACGAUACAGAGAGUAAUAGAGGCUGCGGUCCACUUUACGCUACGAAUGUUUCGAAGGGUUUUAUUGACCAAUCGGAAAUAAAUUUCAUGAAUUGACAAAAAAAUAGUUCAAAGCGUUUGUGGCAUCAAUCUUUAGCCGGAGAGGACGGCUUCGGAGAUGAGAAAACGAGUUAGGGACCCAACACCCCAGUGAGAAAUCAUCAUUUCGAUGUCGAUUCGACGUCGAAUUGUUGUCGAGUUCAUUAUCGUUUUUCGCUGGGACCGUGUACAAACGCGUUACAGGCCUCUUCCUGAUGUUGAGCUUCGCAGAGCUUGUGGGGAGACGCGUGCGGCUCGUAUCAUCGAGGUGAAGCGUGUCGAGGACGUCGUCAUCGUCGACGCUUGACGACGUUUCGUUGCUCUUAAUACAUACAGAUGUGCAGCCAUCGACGCGUGCAUCGCACAGCCUCCUCGUCUCGACGACGACGACGACGACGACGACGACGGCGGCGGCGGCGGCGAUCGAACGAGAGUGCACACCCCUUUUCCAUCUCGCUCUCUCGCUUCCUUUCCUUCUUCCUCUUUCUACCUUCAUCUCGCUUUCUGGAGAGCGCAUACAAAAGGGAUCGGCGACAAUUCUCUUAUCACGUUACCAGCAUCAACGACGGCACUCCGCCGUUCCUCUUUCUUCUUUCGAGUGCUUAUCGAUCUCGCGCGCGCGCGCGCGCGCUCAUUAUCUCCGCUUAUUAACAACAAGCGGUUCAUCGUCCGCGCGCGCGGCGCGCGUUGCCGUCGCCGCGCGCGUGCCAAUUAAGAAUAUCUAAUCCCGCGAAACGCGGUCACGGGGUAAAUCCGAUAGCGCGCGAGCGUGCGGUAAACAGCCGCGCGUCUAUAAUUGGACGAUGUAUCUUGCCACGCCAAGGCGCGCGCGGUAUAAUCCACUUUUGCACGAAGGGAAACCGGGCGGGUAGCCGCAAAAUUACGGGCAAUUACGGAAAUCCCUCCUGAGAGGUAGAGCUUUCGAGUCUCACGCACGUGAUGCAUUCAUUAUACACCGGGGAAAAAAAUGGUUGCGUUAUUUAAGUUGAACAUGCGAAGGGAACUUUCCAGCAAGUGACACAAAUUGACACAGCAGUAUUUCUGUCUUUGGUUGAUAUUCAGUGAGAGACAAGGACAAAAUUGCUGCUGUGUCAAUUUGUGUCUCUUGCUGCCCAGCGAGAAACAAUAAUGAAUUCAACAUCAAUUCGACGUCGAAUCGACAUCGAAGUGAUGAUUUCGAUGUCGAAUCAAUGUCGAUUCGAUGUACUAUUUCUCACUGGGUGGAAAGCUCCCGUAGACUUGAUACUUCAUUUUCUAUGCGGUCAAGUCGAAAAAUUUAGUCAAGUUUAAUUAACAAAGUCAGUUUCGGCGAAUAAGAUGCGUGUAAAUUAAUUAUGUAAUUACAAGUAUUAAAUAAAGAUAAAAUAACGAAACUUUAUGCUACUUUAGAUUUCAGUUCAAGUCCCGAAAUUUCGCUUCUAUAACAGUCUGUAUACUGGCCCCUCUCAAAUUUAAUACCGGUAUGCGGUGUAUUCGCGUAUCAAGUUAUAGAAUGCUUUGAGGAGAGACGGUAUAUGUUUGUGUGCAUGUGCAUAAUUGUGUGCAUGCGAGUAUCGGGAGAAGAAGAGAGGAGGGAGAUGCAAUUGAGUGAUGAAUGCAUCGUCGGGAUGCAUGCUCACCUAGUUAUGCCAUAAUGCCAUCGGCGCAUAAUGUAGAUAGAUUCGUCGUUCCACUGUGCUAAUUCAAGUGUCGAGAUAUCCUCAAAUAACGAUAUCUAUUUGCAGUACUAUUAAUCGAAGUCUUGUCCCUAUACGAAAAUGUUAUUUCAUUCGGUUAAAUAACAAAUCGACAUUAACGUUUCAUGGUUUCAAUGCCGUCAAAAUUAUACAUUUUCAAAAAAUAACUCGAAGAUUGCAUCGCUUUCGAAAUUCGUCGUGACUUAACUCCUUCUUCAAUUGUUUUUAGACUAUUUAAAUAUACUUAUUAAGUUUUUUGUGCACAAUAUUGGCAAGAUUUUAAUUUUCCUCAAAUACCUUAAAAGAUCGAUAAUUUUUUUUUUCAAUAAUUAAAAACUACGAAAAGAAAUUUUCUUUAGGCAUAAUGAAUCUUGAUAAAUCUGGUUCCUUCAAGGUAAAAGUUCAAUAUGUGGUUUGCAGCAUAUAAAACAAGUUUCAAUCGAACAGAAUGAAGAGGGCUCGAAGAGGAUUAAGACUCUUCAGGAAACUGUAGCACUAAAAAGUAAUGAUACUGCAAUUCUCAAUGGUCGGAAAUCUGAUAAAAAUGAAAGACGCGCGCGCGCGUGUAUAUAUAAAAUCUAAAAAACUUACAAAAAUAGAAUCACUGCACCACUUACAGGGAUAAUCAUCAUUAAAUAAGACGUAGUCUACAAUGAAGACUUAAGUUUUUAUCCGUAAGAAAUUGACUAAUCACAAUUGAGUAUUUUUAUAAAAAUUGACUGUGAUUGGUCAAUUUCUUACGGCUUAAAGCUUAAGUCUUCAUUGUAGACGUCUAUCUAAAAAAAAUAUUAAAAAAAUAAUAAUCUUUGAAAAAUGUAAUAAUCGUUUUUGUCUUAUUUAUUUAUCAACUAUAGUGAUUAUAUGUUCGAUUGAGCUACCUUUCUGUAACAAUAUUGAAUUGUUUAAAAAUAAUGGUUUGUGUCUAGAGGUGUUCUUACAAUGUAAAAGAUAUGUUGCAGUAUCUCGCUAAGUAUGAAAGGAUAUUUUACGAAAAAUGUUCUUGACACACAGUACAAUCUAUCAGCAUAUAGAAAGAAAAAAAGAAAGACAAUAAUUCUCAUUUAAUAAAUAUAUUUAAAGAUAUUCAUGUGAUGAAUAUUUAUAGGUGGAUGCAUAAAUCAUUAGGCAAUGAAUUGAUGUUAGAUUCGAUGAUUUAAUGUGCAAAUUUGCAGGACCACAAUAAAUGGAAAUUAAUUGCUUAAUCGCUGAUGCAAUUUGAAUAUGGCAAUGUGUUAAUCAGUUUGUAUAUGGUAUAUAUAUAUAGUGCUGAAAUGACGUUUAUAUAUCUACAUUUGUGGUACAAAUAUAAUUAAAACCUAUUCACGACGGAAAGCCAAAUCCAUGACUUUAACACUUAAGGGGAUACUAAACUGCUGUUUUAUCAUUAAUUUUCGGACC
rnacentral:lncRNA from 1 species